UACGAAGGGGGCUAGCGUUGCUCGGAAUUACUGGGCGUAAAGGGAGCGUAGGCGGAUAGUUCAGUCAGAGGUGAAAGCCCAGGGCUCAACCUUGGAACUGCCUUUGAUACUGGCUAUCUUGAGUUUGGGAGAGGUGUGUGGAACUCCGAGUGUAGAGGUGAAAUUCGUAGAUAUUCGGAAGAACACCAGUGGCGAAGGCGGCUCACUGGCCCGAUACUGACGCUGAGGCACGAAAGCGUGGGGAGCAAACAGG
rnacentral:rRNA from 1 species